AGCAGCCGCGGUAAUUCCAGCUCCAAUAGCGUAUAUUAAAGUUGUUGCAGUUAAAAGCUCGUAGUUGAAUUUCGGGGUUUAUCCGUUGGUCGGGCUUUUUGGUCUGUACUGGCGUGAUGGAUUCCUACCUUCUGAAUAACCGGCAUGCCAUUAAUUUGGUGCGCCGGGGAAGCAGGACUGUUACCUUGAAAAAAUUAGAGUGCUUAAAGCAGGCUUAUGCCUGAAUACAUUAGCAUGGAAUAAUGAAAUAGGACGGCAUGGUUCUAUUUUGUUGGUUUCUAGGAUCACCGUAAUGAUUAAUAGGGAUAGUUGGGGGCAUUAGUAUUCAAUUGUCAGAGGUGAAAUUCUUGGAUUUAUUGAAGACUAACUUCUGCGAAAGCAUUUGCCAAGGAUGUUUUCAUUAAUCAAGAACGAAAGUUAGGGGAUCGAAGACGAUCAGAUACCGUCGUAGUCUUAACCAUAAACUAUGCCGACUAGGGAUCGGACGAUGUUAAUUUUUUAAUGACUCGUUCGGCGCCUU
rnacentral:rRNA from 1 species